CCGCCGCCAGCCUUUAAAACGACAACAUUAAAUCAAGUCCAACGGUGAUUAGUGGAAUCACUCACGAGUAAAUUUGCAACCAUUUUUUUUUUAGGUUUCAAACUUUGACCCACAAAUUCAGCAGUUGCCAACAUGCUGCUUUGACAGUGCUGACCUUUGAGUGGACGGCGCACUGCAGAGCCGGAGAGUUGGGUGAAGCUGUUGUAGCUUAUUAGCUGUGUUGAGUUACCGUGUAAGUCACCGCGCUGAGAGCAAAAUAUUUAACAAAAGGCGCAUUUAUCGGCUGGGUCGCUUUAAACAGAUCUUAUAUUUGCAAUUAAAGGUGCAGAGUCCCAUUUUUUACAAUCCAGCCUGGACAACAAGAACAUUUAAAGCCAAACGAUCCAAAGGCAUGCUACAGUUAUUAGAUACGCGAUUGGUAUGCAGCCCAACUCUUUAGAAUUAGUGAAGACUUAAAGUAAAACAAUGGUCUCUUAUUCUUGCCCUCAGGUCGGUUUGACCUUGCUGUCAACUCACAUUAGUAUCAGGUAUGCUUUGCGUCCUAGAAUAGAUUUAAAUAGUCAUCCAAAAGAAUCAUACCAAGGCUUACAGUGUCAACAGUGCCACAGACGUCAGGUUUGAAACUUUAUUUCUCACAGUUGAAUAAAAGACACCGGCGCCAUUGGGUUUCAUACGAAAAGGGACAAAACAGAUCAAUCUGCAAAAUGACCAGCGAGUUUUCAUUCGCAGGGGCAUCGAAUAGCGAGUCGCUAUGAGACGCUUUCAAGGCUUUCAAAAAACUACAAUGCGAACCCCAUCCACAUAAUUAUUUGGUCUUUAUACAGCAGGCGUUUUCCUGCGAGAGUCUGAGGAGCCACACAGGGUGCGUGGGGUCAAACAGAGACACGGGAGACUGGUGUACGAGCCGAACCCGCUUAUUAGAAAGUGACGCCCAGGAUCCCGUCAAUAUGUGACAGCAAAAUGUCCACAAUGAAGUGACUUUGCGUAGUAACAGGUGAAGAGAAAGGAC
ensembl:lncRNA